AUGUACCGCUUGUACACUGCGGUUCCUGCGCGCCGCGCGCGCCCGCCUGCCAACCGCUCGCUACGUUUUCUCACC
rnacentral:sRNA from 3 species